GCCGUGACGUCCCCGGUGCGCGACGGCACUUUACGACAGCGCCGCAAAGCGAAGACGGCGCAGGCUUCGUAGAGCCGGCUUCGCUCAGCUUCUCGUCCUUGCUGAGCUGUGUUUGGGACCGGGUUAGGGAGGCGGCUGGGGAAGCGCUGAGAAAGCGAAAGAGAAAGCCGGAAAGUGAAAGGAGCCGAAGAAUUGGAAAGGGAAAGAAAGAAAGGGGGUUGAGAGAAGUGUGUCGUCCUGGCUGUUCCGGCAGGAAGGGGUUACAGGCGGCUGAUGUAGUGAGACACGCGUGUCCCAGCCAUAUCUGAGUUAUGAGUGGUUGCAGGGAAAGGAGGGAGGUGAGAGACUUGCAAUCCCCGCAUCCGAGGCUUUUCUCUUCCUUUUCUACCAAGUUGUUCGCUGCAAUGGGUAAAAGCCGUAACCCACGGAGGAGUAAACCAGUUGUGAGAUAGUCACAGAGCCUGGAAGAGAAACCGAGGGUUAAGACGCGAGAUACCUGCAGAGGAAAAACUUGGCCAUACGGGAAAUUGGAAAUCAAGAUCAUUCAGAAGUUUGUAAUGUGGUUUUCAUGUUUGAUAUUCGUUGCCUUAUUAAUGUGUGGAAAUAUUUAACUUGCAAGUGCAUAAUCCGCUGGUUCUGUGGUGUGGUGUGGACACAGACCGUAUAAAACUUUUGACCAUCUCAAAAACCACAUUUAUCAAACCUUAACAACUUGUUCUGAAGGCUGUAGAGCUCUCGGCCUAUGAAGGCUCCCUCAGAACCUCUGCGCUGAGACUUGUCCAAACUCUUGCUGACGAAAAUUCAAUUAACUGUCAAGUUAAGAAAAAAAGGGAAUUUUAUUUGAGCCAAACUGAUGGUGAUAACACAGGAAGCAGCCUCAGAAAGCUCGGAGGACCAUUCUGCCUGUUAGAAGUCGAAGGCACAGGCAUAUACAUUUUUGAAACAAAGGACCAUACAUCAAAAUGACCGACUAAUAUUUUACAUAAACUUCACCAAAGGUACAUAGUCCAGGUAAGCACAUGCCAGGCAAGCAUCUAACCCUAUCCACCCCACGCCCCCUCACCUAAAGGGCUGGGAAAGAACACUGUUCUUUUAAGAAGUUACAUUGCUAGGGUCAGAAUAAAGGGAAAAAAAUGAUCUUUAUGGUUGAGUGGGUGCUCCCAUCUUUGAGAAGUUCUGGUUAACUGUAAUAAAGGUGCACACUGCACGUUAAGGAGGGAGGAGGCCCAAACAAACAGAAUUUUAUGUGUAAUUUUUUCUUGUCCUGCCUUAAAAUAUAAAUUUUACUUCAGCCCUCUAUUAUGGCUUCUAGCAGCUUAAGGUCUUGCCCCUAGGGUGAUCUUAAGUGCCCCACCCCUUUAAAAUACCUGCCUAGAAACGCUCAAUACUGCCCGAAGAAUUUGUGAUUUGUUCCAGGCAGAACCUGGAUAGGCAGACAGACCCCAGAGCCCUCUCUUGGAGCAGCUACUUUAGAAAGCUUGCAAUGUAAAUUCUUUCCUCUGACCUUUGUGGUAUAGAUCUGCCACCCAGAACUGUUUCCUUAAGGACUUGUGAGCCCCUCUCUUUAAGAUGCAGAUAUUCAGGGAGAUAACUCUGUGCUAGCUCCCAGUCCCUGUGGGAGCAAUAAGGACCUACCUUUCUUCAACUUGCACUGCUGCUUCCUCUCAUAAAGAUAGAAGUUUCUUUCUCCCCUGACAAAUGCCAAUUAACAAACCCAGAUGGCCUAGUCACAUGGAUCACCCACCCACCCCUUUACUACCCCUUAGUGACUUUCCCUUAGCACACUCCAGCCUUUGAAAAGUCUUCAGCCUUCUGAUUCAGGGGAAGUGGAGUUCAGUUCAUACUGUAGUAUUACUGAACAAAAUAUGUCCUUACCACUUUCGUGUCCAGCUUUGUUUAUGUCUAGCAAUCCAUCCAGGUAGCAAAGUUCUAUUAUUAAAAUAUGCUUGCCUUUUAAAAAGUAAAUAUUUGGACUUGGCUUCCUGUAGUCAGAUAAACUUUGCUGUCAGUGUUGUUGACCGCCAUUAACCUCUGCUUAAGCUGGUAUUAAAAAACAAAAUUCAACUGAGUGAAUUUGAAGACCUAAUUGGCUUUACUAAAUGAUUCAUGAAUCAGGCAUCAUCCCAUCUAACAAAUAGAAAGGAGCUGUACAAUGAAAGGUUUUUUAAAAGCAGGAAGGAGGGGACAAGGAAGUCAAAAAGAAAAGAAAGGAUUAUUUCAGGCAAGGUCACCUUCUUUGGGGAGAAGGGUAGGGGGUUAUCAUGCAGAUCACCUCACUAGUGUUGAUCAGGAAAUUCCAAACUGAUUGGUUUAAAAUUACAUUUCUCUGGGUAUAUACCCAGUACACAUAUAUACAAUGGACUAUUACUCAGCCAUAAAAAGGAACGAAACUGGGUCAUUUGUGGAGAUAUGGAUGGACCUAGAGAGUGUCAUAUGGAGUGAAGUAAGUCAGAAAGAGAAAAACAAAUAUUGUAUAUUAAUGCAUACAUGUGGAACCUAGAAAAAUGGUAUAGAUGAUCUUAUCUGCAAUGCAGAAAUAGAGACACAGAGGUAGAGAACAAAUGUAUGGAUACCAAGGGGGAAAGGAGGGGGUGGGAGGAAUUGGGAUAUUGGGAUUGACACAUAUACGUAUUGACACUAUGUAUAAAAUAGAUAACUAAUAAUAUACUGUACAGCACAGGGAACUCUACUUAAUGUACUGUGGUGACCUAAAUGGGAAGGAAAUCCAAAAAAGAGGGGAUAUAUGUAUAUGUACAGCUGAUUCAUUUUGCUGUACAGUAGAAACUAACACAACAUUGUAAAGCAACUAUACUCCAAUAAAAAUUAAUUUAAAAAAAUAAAAAAUAAAAUUACAUUUCUCAGGGACUUCCCUGGUGGUCCAGUGGUUAAGACUCUGCACUCCCAAUGCAGAGGGCGCAGGUUCGAUCCCUGCUCAGGGAACUAAGAUCCCACAUACUGUACAAUGCGGCCAAAAAAAAAAAAAAAACCCAAAAUUACAUUUCUGAGCGAGGCUGAAACUGCAGUUAGGUGUUAAGUUUUAGUUUGCUUCUGCGGGGCUUAGCAUUAGUGACUCCACUUUGGACCUACUGAUCCUUUUUUAACACUGGAAAUGUAUUAGGCAGGCUCUUAAAAAGGCUCAGCUCAUCCAAAUUAAUUCAGUUGACAAAUUACUCAUUAGGGAGAAGAGGAGCAAGGCAGUGUGAUUCACAAAACCUCUGAUCAAAGAACGGGAGAAACGGGGGUUCUCAUAGGAAGUUCCUCAAGCCCGUCUUCCAACACUGCAUUCCUUAAGGGGAGGUUGGAGUGGACUUAGUUUAAAGAGCGACACAACAAUGCAAACAAAACCACUCCCUGACACUGGGCCUGCGCCACAAUUGGCUCAGGCAGCCAGGUCUCCUAGGUUCCUCCCUUCAGGGACAUGUACUCCCAGGUUUGCAAGAGCACAGUGUGCUGCAACCCACUCUUGGGCAGAACAGAAAUGCCAUCUUGAAUAUUUACUGUUUUCUAUUACUCUUUAUCUACCCACAUCCCAAAUUAAAUGGGUGUCAUCAGAACUUAAAAAAGUGAGGGCUUUUGGUUUUUGUUUUAUUUUUUUAUUUAGAAACCACAUACCAACAUUUAAGGGCAUCUUAUAAUUGGUGAAACAGACAAAAGAUGCUGAGAAAGAAAUACUUCUAAAUAGAAAAGCGUUGUAUGUGAUUACUGGAAUUGAUAUGUAUGCUAAAAAUAAGAAUUCCAGUUGUUUCCCCCCUUUUCCAUUUAUUUUGUAUACAACAAAUAUUAACUGAUUGCUUACUAUUUACCAAGCACUGCCCUAGAUGCUGGGAAUACAACUGUGAAUGUAAGGGAGGAAAACCUUUUUCUCUACCCUUCUUAAUUUUGGGGGGGCUUAUUUAUUAAUUAAGACAGAUUAACAGGGGACUUCCCUGGUGGCGCAGUGGUUAAGAAUCCGCCUGCCAAUGCAGAGGACACAGGUUUGAUCCCUGGUCCAGGAAGAUCCCAUAUGCUGCGGAGCACCUAAGCCCGUGCGCCACAACUACUGAGCCUGCGCUCUAGAGCCCGCGAGCCACAACUACUGAAGCCUAUGCGCCUAGAGCCCGUGCUCCGCCACAAGAGAAGCCACCGCAAUGAGAAGCCCGCGCACUGCGACAAAGAGUAGCCCCCGCUCGCCGCAACUAGAGAAAACCACGCGCAGCAAUGAAGACCCAAAGCAGCCAAAAAUAAAUACAUACAUUUAUUAAAAAAAAAAAAGACAGCAAACUACAUUUGCAUCCCUUAACUAAGGAAGGGCAACCAUCAAGUUUCAAGGAAGCGUCUGGACUGCGGACGCUGUCCAUUAGCCUUGUAACUUUAAAAGGAAUUUAUCAAAUUUAGCAAAACAAGAGACAACUAACCCUGCAAUCAGGAGACCAGGAGAAAGGGAGUAAAAGAUGGCUCUGGCUGCACACCUACUCGGGGCUGCGGCACCCAGAACUAGGAAGCUUUGCUCUCCUCUGGGUUUUGUCCCUCCCAGAUUUCUGAGCUCAGGAGCAGUCGCUCUGCACUGCAGCUUGAGCCAGUUGCGGAAGACCUAACCAAGCCCAGCCCAAAAGAAGGAACGGCUUCGGGGCUGUUUGUUUCUCUUUGAUAAAGGAGCCCUUCCUUUUUCUUGCUUUUACUCUCUCUGGUAUUUGAUGCAAUAACCCCCCAGAAGCGAUUUAGAGUGACUGGUAAAACAAAGUAUACCAAAACCUCACAGCAACCAAAAGGAUGAAGUUCCUUCUAGACUGCCUCCAGCUUCUGCCCUUACUGCUCAUCUGCACCUUAAGAGUCUCUCCUGAAGCUUUUCAUUCUGAAGAAGAGAAAAGCAGUCACCGGAGAAAUGGUCCUGAUUACUGGAGCUGGACACGGAAUUGGGAGACUGACUGCCUAUGAAUUUGCCAAACUUAAAUGCAAACUGGUCCUGUGGGAUAUAGAUAAGGCAUGUGGGAUCUUAAUUCCCCAACCAGGGAUCAAACCCGUGCCCCCUGAAUUUGGAAUGUGAAGUCUUAACCACUGGACCGCCAGGCAAGUCCCUGAUCCCUCUGUCUUAAUCAUAUGGAAAAAGUUAAAGCCGGAUACGAGUUCGGAUUCUCCUCCUGUUAAGUCGAAUGGAGCUCGAAAAAAUCAUGGAGUGUGAUGUCUAAACACAAUGGAAUGAAAGAAGAAAAAUCUCUUAACUGAGAAAGGCUUCUGUGGAUGAGGAUCUAGGAGCUACGUAAAUGACUGGAGUGACGUGCUGAAGACCAGAGGUGGGUGGAGAGUAUUACCACUCCGCGUGAAGAGGUAACGGAGGCCAAAGGAAUGGCUGAAACGGAGCAGGAGAGAGUAGAGAAACUCCGCCGUGCAAGUCUUUCCAGCUGACCAACAAUGAACUCCUAGAAUACACCUAACAUAAGCAAGUACUGAGGAAGGUGUUCCCACCAAUUAGGAUACAGUGAAGUGUUGUAUUUAACUCAUAACAGAGAAUACAACCCAGGGCUCACUCAUUGUGUGCUGAAGAACUGUCUGGGGGAUUACAAAAUGCCGGACCCAGGGAAGCAUUCAAGCAUGCCAUCUCCUCCCUUUAUGUCCAGAGAGUCAGAAAACAACCGCCAACUGACAGAAGUCACCUCUGGAUUAAUGACUGGUAGGUUUAAUUUAUGCAAAUGUGUGAAGCUUCAAUCUAUGUGCUUUACAAAUUAGGUUAACAGUACCCAUCUCAGGGAUUUUUGUAAGCCCUGAGAAACUAAAACACUGUGGUCUGAAGGAAUCAAUCACUUUGGUUUAAAAACUGUGUCCAGGUUUUCAGAUAACGAACUACAGAAGGGACGUUGGAAAGGCCUUUACAUUUUAGUUUUACUUUCUCUGAAUUCUUAGAGUUUAAACACAAGCAAGUAUUUUAAUUCAAUUAUUAUUUUAUCAUCUUGGCAAAACCGCCUGUCUUAGUCUCCAUGGAAGCUGCCUGUACCAACAGAAACGUCAAAUACAGGAUGUUUGAGAGCAACUUACCUUAUGACUCCCAAUGAAAAACAUCUGAGCCUCUUCCUUUCUGAUUUUGGGAUUUUGAAUCAUAGCUCUUUCUGUACCCACCCUAAAUUUAAUAAAGCUGAGUGUAGAAAAAAUAUGAGAAAGAAGAAAAUAUGACUCAUAAUUCUACAUUUGGAGGCAGUCACUGUUAAAAUUUUGAAGUAUUCCUUCCUUUCUUUAAAAAUAUUUUCCCUAUUCUUCUUAUUCUCACGUUGUCCCACAUUCUAAUGAAUAUGUCACUCCACAUUUGAUGACUGACUUGUUCUAUCGUUUUGUACUUUAGAGCAUGUCAGACACGAGAGCGCUGGUCUCACUAACUUCUGUCCUUUAAUAAACAGCCUUAAAAACAUUGUGCCUGAUUUUUGGAUGUUUUACUUUUUUUAAAUGAUAGCUCAGAAUAAUUUAUAAAAUAAAUAUUCUGCUAUGAAAUUGCAUUCCUCCAAAUUAGGAUAAUAUGCCCUAUGCAUUUUUAGAGAGAGAAACAAAAGCUUAGGAAUGGAAAGGAACAAACUUAAAAAAGAUUCCCCAUAAUUAAUGGAGUCCCUUUGGGAAAGAAUCCAGGUUUUGAGUAGAAUAUAUAGUCAAAGAAUUAGGAAAGAACAGUUCAUGGUUUCCAGCUCAUUAAAGUUGGUGCUUGGACUACUCACUGGUUUUCAUUUGUGUAUAAAAAAUAAAGUUGUGGGGCUUCCCUGGUGGCGCAGUGGUUGAGAGUCCGCCUGCCAAUGCAGGGGACACGGGUUCGUGCCCCGGUCCGGGAAGAUCCCACAUGCCACAGAGUGGCUGGGCCCAUGAGCCAUGGCCGCUGAGCCUGUGCGUCCGGAGCCUGUGCUCCGCAACGGGAGAGGCCACGACAGUGAGAGGCCCGCAUACCGCAAAAUAAAUAAAUAAAUAAAUAAAUAAAAAUAAAGUUGUGAAUUAAACCUUAAUUCAUUGAACAAGAGUCUACCAGAAUGGCUUAAUACAUGGUUCAGUUGCUGUUUUUGUUUUUCUUUGUCCUAGCAUAUUCUAAGAUAAAUGUAAGUGCCUUUUCGUGUAGUUGGUGUUAGUUUCAUCUCCAUUAAAAGAGAUUUAUCCUGAUCUUAUCAAAAUGUGUGGAUUAUAGUGAGAUGGACAAGUCAGGCAUGCCUCGGCAGUGUGUGAGAGUGUGUGUGUGUGUGUGACUGUGUGUGUGUGUGUGUGUGUGAGGGACAAAUUCAGACUUAACUGAAUUGACUGCCUCAUCUUUGACCAUCACUCUUCUCAGACAUUUCCUUCUAUGGAAUUUACAUGUGAAAAUUAAUUUGUAACUUAGAGAAAACUAAAAGUAUAGGGUGCUCAUCAUUUUUUAGGACUAGCAUGAAUUUGUAGAGAUGCAAGAAGAAAAAGAGCCAAUAUUAUUUCUAUUAUUUGAAGGGAAGGGGAGGAAGUAUAGUCAAGACUUUUAUGCAGAAGGAAAGGUUUUUUGUUUUGUUUUGUUUUUUAUAUUUAUUUUGGCUGUGUUGGGUCUUCAUUUCUGUGCGAGGGCUUUCUCUAGUUGUGGCAAGCGGGGGCCCCUCUUCAUCACGGUGCUCGGGCCUCUCACUAUCGCGGCGCGGCCUCUCUUGUUGCGGAGCACAGGCUCCGGAUGCGCAGGCUCAGUAGUUGUGGCUCAUGGGCCCCGUUGCUCCGUGGCAUGUGGGAUCUUCCCAGACCAGAGCUCGAACCCGUGUCCCCUGCAUCGGCAGGCGGACUCUCAACCACUGCGCCACCAGGGAAGCCCAGGCUUUUUUUUAAAAUCUCCCCAGGUAGCUCCUCACCCUGGGGAAUGUUAACGUUACGUUUCAGACAAAGAUCUACCUUGCAAAGUGUUUUCAUAUUGACGUCCUUACUCUUUCAGUGUUUUCAUGGGUUGUACUUAAACAUAUAGAUCUAUAAUUUCUCUUUUAAAAGGGUCUUCCAGUAAGUGUAUUGAGUAAAGCAUUUUGAAAUAGAUGUGGCUAUUGUCACAAAAUAGUCAACAAACAUUAACUUUAAAAAACAACAGAUAACUUUAUAGCUCUCCUAUUAAGGCUGCCUGCAGUAUUUUGGCAUCAGGUACUUUGAAGAAGGUCAAGUUUUAAAGACAUUAGCAUGUCAUGAUUUAGAAUAAUCCAAACAUUUAGCCAUCUGUCUAUGCUUUUAUUUCUAAACGUUUCCAUCUGAUUAAAUGGGCUAUAACUGUCAGUCUAGAAGUACCUAGUAACCCAAUAGCAGUGGUCAAACUAGGGAAUAGAAACAAAUAAUCUUUGCUUUUUUCAGGCAGUAAUUCCUUCUCACGCUCUCUGACUUCAAAUCGUCCUCGUCAGGGAAGACUUACCCAUAAACACUCUUUGAAAAGCAUCACUUCUCAGCUUUGGAAUGUGGAUAGUAAUAUAUAUUAUAAUGUCCCCCAAGAGACUGAUGCCUGUACCUUUCAUUCCUUCUUUGUGUUACUGAUUUUGAUGCUUGUUACUAAAUCGAGACGCAGUAGGACAUUGUAAGUUGCAGCGGGAAGGGCAGAUACCUAUUUUCCAGUGGAAAUCAAGUCAGGGGAGAGCACUAAGGAGUCAUCACCUCCUCCAGACAAGCUGGGUCAGCAGACCCAGCUGGAUACGUCAUUCACCCAACUGCAGGCCGUACAUGCAUGGAGUGUAGAAAAUGUUUUAUUGAUGUCAUUUACAGUGACAUUUUGUAUAUGUGGCAGGAAACAUCAUCUGCAUAUUUCACAUGGGAAUGGAAUUUGCCUUUACAAAAGAAUGCAGAUAACAUCCCCUCAUGCAUUUAUGCAUUUCUUUCUUUUCUAUUCCUCUCUCUCUUUUCAUUUAUUUUAAUUUUUAGAUAUACCAAUUUACGUCAAUAAAGACAGUAUAAUACAGUAAAGAGCUCUAUAAUCUGGCCUCAGAAAGAUUGCGUGCAAAACUUAGCUCCACCACACAUUGACUGUGUGCUCUGAAGUUUCUUCUCGGUAAGCAGAGAUCAAGUCUAAUAGGAAAGGAGUGAGGCAUAAAUGAGAAUGCAGAGCAAGCACUCAGUGCAGGGCCUGGUGAGCAAGAUGCUAGCUUUUACUACUGAUGACAUUUUAAAUGACAGUCAAGUUGAGACAGCAGUGGCUCAUAGUGUGAGUGGGACCUACAGGACAUACAGUCCCUUUAUUCCUGAUGACAUGGCCCAUUAACCUCAGCGCUGCUGCCUGUGUCGCCUGUCGUGGUGUGCAGUUGUGAGGAGGAACAGAAGAUUUGACAACCAGAGGAACGAGCAAAACAGAGGCAUUUUUUAAUCUGGUGGCAGGACCUAGGGGGACAUAGCAUCACACACUGAACUGGGUAAUGUGAAGCUUUUCAUGAUUCCAGGGCUCUUAACAAUCUUACUAUUAAUACUAUUAAGGAUCAUCUUUCCAGAGCUCUGCCUCAGUCCUCCUCCAGAAAUGCGGUGACAUCUCCUUGGAACUCAGCAGCGCAGCUUGCAGAUUUCCUCAGUCCUCUACUCCCCUGAGUCACCCGGGUGUUCUUGCUUCUUCCCGUGGCCAGGGGCGUUGACUCUCUUCUCCAUUGGGCGGGGAUCUGACUCUCGACCACAGCAAAUAACGUCUCAGUUCCUACAUUUCCUCCAGCCGUUCUCUUCCAGAUUGCCUUCCCUGGGGGUGGAUGGCGCCCAGGGUAGAUAUACCCAGAGCCUUGCCACCUAUGCAGAGUAAGAACUAACGUGAGCCAAACCUAAAGAGCAUGGCAGCACAAGCACCAGAUUAACAGAGAAUUUCGGUCACAGUCUCAAUCCUGUCACGUACAGGAUGAGACCUAGGAUCCUUUCCCUGUAUGACCUUGAGAGAGUCAUGAAAUUGCUUUAAGCCCCACUUUCAUUACCUGUUAAAUGGGUUUACUACUUAUCCGUAGUCUCUUAAAGAAUCACUGUGAAAUACUACUUAUCCGUAGUCUCUUAAAGAAUCACUGUGAAAUACUGAAAAAUGAGAAGAUAGAUUAACAGAGCUCGGUCGUGUGUUUAUUGCAUGUCAUGCAGUUAAAACAGUUUACACAACGGGAGCCCAUAAACUCAAAAAAAAAUAAAUAUUAGCUAGUACUAUUAUUAUUUGUGCAUUUUUUUUUAUGAGUCAGUAAGAUGUGGAGGGGCGUCUCUGGUGGCGCAGUGGUUGAUGGCCUGCCGAUGCAGGGGACGCGGGUUCGUGCCCCGGUCCGGGAAGAUCCCACAUGCCGCGGGGCGGCUGGGCCCGUGAGCCAUGGCCGCUGAGCCCGCGCGUCCGGAGCCUGUGCUCCGCAACGGGAGAGGCCGCAACAGUGAGAGGCCCGCGUACCGCAAAAAAAUAAAUAAAUAAAUAAAAUUUUAAAAAGAUGUGGAAAAAGCAUCUGUAUGUUGGACUAGAAUUUGAACUUUAAAUGUCAGGAAGGAGCGUGGCUGGGUACAGAAGGAAACCCACCGACACCUCCCACGGUAGUUUGGGUGCUGGGCUGGCUGGAUCGGGCCCUCGUGGAUGCCUGGUUAGAUGCAGGGUGACUGUGGACGCCUGCUUCCCUCUCUGCUGAUACGGCCAAAGUUCUUGGUUCCAAGGAGUUGCUGAUGAUAUAGAUUCCAGGGCACAAAAAGCCCACACUUUUCAUAAUGGGUUUCAGGCCCAUUACUGGUUAUAAUUUAAAAUUGUUUGAAUUCAUGGCAAAAGAGAGAUGCUUCUGCUUUUCAUUAAGUAUCACUGAGCAGGUGCUGAGUUCUGCAGGCUUUAAUGACUGCCAGCCUCUAAGUCAUAGUUAAAAGUAAAAUAUUUGAAUUCCUCCCAAACUUCAAUAGUCCCAUUAGUGAGAGACUUCAAACGAGCACACAUUUUAUCAUCUCUAUUUUGCACUGUUAGGUUUAGAUUUCAAUGACAACAUUUUCCUCUUCUGGUAGAAUUAUUGAGUAGGCAUAAAUGGUUGGGAAGAAAACACAAAUUUGUCUUUAUUGCAUAUGUGGUUGCAAAACUCUGGGAACAUCAGCCUUCUUUUUUUUUUUACUGCACCAAGACGUGUUGAAAGAAGGGCUGCUCUGUGGGUGAAUGUUUGACGCAGACACCUUUGUGCCUGGGAGACGGCAGGUAAUCGGAAGACGAAUGACUCGCAUGUCCGGCUGAUUCAAGGAGGGUUCAACUAAAUAUACCAAGCUGUUAUUCAGUCUGUUUACUCAGGUUUAUAUGAGGCUAACAAGUGCCCCAGCCGCCUUUUAGGCCCUCAUUCCCAGGAAUUCCCUCAUUCUUUUGUUGAGCUGUUGGGCCCAUUUGAAUUACUUUAUGAGGAAUAUUUAGAAAAGAGAGAGAGUGGGGUGAUCAAGGGUGACUUGGGCUGCUCACAGCCUGGGGAGAAUUCUCUGUUCUCCUGUUCUUCCCUGCACCUGUGGUGCAAAAAAAGUAAAAUCUUGUGGUUUUUACUUGUGAUAUCUAUAAUUUCUUCUAGGCUUGCUAGAAAUUUUACAGGAAUGAAGAACUGAGUCACUGAAAGAUCUCCUUUGAUUCUGAAGACUAACAGCCUUAUUUAUUUACUUAUUUUUAGAAUUUUAAUGAGACAGCUAAAAACUUUUCUAAACUAGGUGUACGUGAAGUUUGAAGUGAUGAUGAUGUUGGUGUAGAUGUACGAGAACGUCUCAAUUCUUAGGAGGUAUCUGCUAAAGCACGUAGAUGUGGAGUGGUAUGCUGUCUGCAACGUAAUUUGAAACGUUUUAGCAAAAAUGUGAAGUGAUAGAUAAAGCAGAUGUGGCACAUUGUUAAGAUAAUAUUGUUGAACCUGAUUGUUUGGUAAAUGUUCAUAUAUUGUUCUUCCAACGUUUCUGUGUGUUUGUAAAUUUUCAUAACAAAAAGUUGAAAAAACCCUUCUGUUGAUAAUCACAAAAUGCUAAGUUAAGACUCAGCUGACAAACUUGGGAAAUAUUUGUUAAAUAUAUGUCAUAUAUAGGAUUAUUAUCAUUAAAUUAUAAAUCACUUUGAAUCAAUGAGAACAAAUAUGAACAGUCCAGUAAAAAACAGGCAAAGGAAAUGAAGUCGUCACAAAAGGAAAAGCAAAAAUGGACACUAUUUAUAUAAUUGCAUAUAAUUGCAUAGCGAUCUCACUAUCAAUAAAAGUAUAGUUUAAAGCAGAUAAGAAGACUUAUAAUAGCUAUCAGGCAGUUACUCUGAGUCGGGCAUCAUUCAAGUAUUUUCCCUCUCUUUUCACAUUUAACUCUGGCAAAAGUCCUAUGAUAGAGAAACUAUUAUUCUUUCUAUUUUGCUGAAGAGGAAACUGAACCUGCAGAGGUUAAAUUCCUUGCCCAAGACUACAGUGGGGAAAAUAUUAGUAAGUAUUAGAUUAAGAUUCACACUAAGACCAUCCCUGUCUAGACCCUGCUCUAUUUGUAAAUGCUGCAUGAGAUCUGAUACCCCUAAGGGUGGACAUUCGCAGCUGGUGUGUUAAUAGAAACCACAUGAAUCCCCUUUCUGGGGGACAAUUUGACAAUAUGUAUGCAUCAGUUGCCUUAACAUUUGACUCAGUGCAUAACAUUUGACUCAGUGAUUCCUGUCUAGGACCUCGUCUAAGGAAACAGGACAAGUGUGUAAUGAUGUUUAUACAAAAAUAUUAAUCCAACACUGAGUAUGUAUUAAAAAAUCAAAACUAAAUGCCCAAUGAGUAAAGGACUGGUUAAAUAAGUUAUGGCUCAGCAAUACAGCAGUAUGUUAGGCUGCCAUUAACAGGUCUAGAUUUAUUUUUUUUAAUGUUUAUAAAACAUUGCAAAUCGAAACAAUCCGGUUACUGUAGAGUAUAAUCCCAUGUUGAUGAAAAAAAGAAGUACAUACAAGGCGUACGGUAUAUAUAUAUGGUAUAUAUAAAUUUUAACAACAUUUGAUCUUUAAAUGGUAACAGUAGAUUUUCCUCCUUGUUUUUAUAUGUACUUUAGAACUUUUCCCACAAAAACGUAUUUUUAGUUAUGUAAUAAAAUUUUAAUGCAGUAUGUGCAGUAAAAUGCAGUGAAUAUUUGGCAUGAUGAAUUAAACAUUUUUAUUGUGUUAAGUACACUUCACAUGCAAUCUACCCUCUUAACUGAUGUUUAAGUGUACAGUACAGCAUUGCUGGGUAUGGGCGUAAUGUUGUAUAGCAUCUCUAGAGUUUAUUCACCUUGUAUAAGUAAAACGUUGUACCUGCUAAGUAGCAAAUCCCUAUUUUCCCCUCCUCCCAGCACUUGGCAACCACAAUUCUAGUCUUUGCUCCCAUGAGCAGACUUUGUGACUAUUUUAGAUACCUCAGAUAAGUGGAAUCAUGCAGUUAUUUGUCCUACUGUGACUGACUUAUGUCAUUUAGCAUGGUGUCCUCAGGGUUUAUCCAUGUUGUCACAAAUGGCAGAAUUUCCUUCUUUUUAAAGGCUGAAAAUAUUUCAUUUUAUGUGUAGGCCACGUUUUAUUUAUUUAUUCACCAUCAUGAAGAUUUAGGUUGUUGCCUCAUAUUGGCUACUAUGAAUAGCGCUGCAAUGAUCAUGGGAGUGCAAAUAUUAAUUCAUGAUUAAUUUUUUUUAGGAAAGCAUCCCAAAGUAUAAUCUUGGAGACUAAAGACUGUGCGGUCCACAAGUUAUUUACUGCAGUAUGAAUGAUCAUACUUGAUGUCGCAUUCUUUCCUUAACUCAGCCAUUCAAGGCUGUUUUCUCAUUAAUGAAGCAGAAAUACUAACUGAAAAAGCAAUGACCAGCUAGGUGUACCACAGCUACGCACCCAUGGAUUUCUCUGCGUCCUCUCUCUAUGGCUCUCUUCUCCACUGGCUUCUUUCUUAAGGGUAUAAACAUGCUCAAGUCUCUUUCACUCUUAAUUAAAAUAAAGCAAAAAUCUUCUCUGAGUUCCCUUGCUUCCCUAAACAAAUCUUUCACUUUCCCUUCUUGAAAUAAUUAUCUUAUUGACUUUAUGUAUUCCUCUUUGUUUGCUCUUCAAUCUGCUGAGAUAUAGUUUCUGCUUGAAACCAACCUGGCAAAGCUCUUUACUAAGAAAUCUAGUGCCUUUGUCUCAGUAUUUUCCCAUGUACGUCUCUAUUUAACUCAGUCAAUAGACACAGUUGACUAAGACAUCCUUGAGUUUCCUCUUUCCUUGCAUUUACCAUUUUUUUAAAUUCUUUUUUAUUACCCCCUCCAUUUUAGUUUCCUUUGUGACCAUGUAUGGUGGACUGAGUAAUGGCCCCCAGAUACAUUCGUGUCCUCAUCACCAGAACCUGUGAAUGUUACCUUUUAUGAAAAAAAAGAGUUUGUAGAUGCGAUUAGCUCGGUCUUGAGAUAGGAUAUUAUACUGGAUUAACCCACAGGCCAGAUGUUGUCCCAAUGGUCCUCUUCAGAAGGAUUCGGCAGCAGUCAGAGUUAGAGUGGGGGAAGGCAAUGUGAUGGUGCAAGCAGAAAUUGGAGUGAUGGAGGAAGGGGCUGAAAGCUCAGGAGUACAAGAAGCUGAGGAGGCAGGGGAACGGCCUCCCUUCAGAGCCUCCGAAAAAAACUGGCCCUCAUCUCAACUCUAGCCCAGUGACCCAGUAAAACCGAUUUUGGACUUCUGACCUGCAGAACUAUAAGGAAUAGAUGUGUGUUAUUUUAAGCCAGGAAGAUUGUGGUAAUUUGUUACAGCAGCAAUAGAAAACUAAUAUACUGUGUCUUUAUCAAUUCUUUCCUAAACCCUUGGAUUACGACAGAGCUCCACCCAUGGCCCCGUUUUCUCCUUACUCUAUAUGUUCUCACUUGGACAUUUCACCUUCUAUCCAGGUUUCAACCAUGACCAAUGACUCCCAAGACCAUCUCUCUCAAUAUACAGACUCAUCAUGUCAACUCUCCACACAGCAUUAUCUUGCAGGCAACUAAAACUCCUUAACUUCUGUGCUGUGCAAAGGAGGAUUGACCAGGAAGCUAAUGAAGCUGAAGCUUCACAUUUCUUCACUUGCACGAGUCUCUUCUAAGAUCAUGGGAGGGCCCUAGAAAUUUGUAUUUGAAUUUUAUAUUAUUUUUCAUAAUAAAAUUGCUCAUGGUCAUAAAGGCAGUGUCAUAGUGGAUUGAGCUGCUGCAACAGAAAUUCCACAGACUGGGUGGCUUAAACAACAACCAUUUAUUUCUCACAGUUAUGAAGGCUGAGAAGUCCAAGAUCACUGCUCUGGCAGAUUCCAAGUCUGGAGAGAACUCACUUCCUGUUUCAUAGACAGCCAUCUUCUCGCAGUGUCCUCAUGCGGUGGAAGGGGUGAGGGAGCUUUCAGUGUUCUUUUUCAUAAGGGAACUAAUCCCACUUGUGAGGGCUCCACCCUCAUGACCUAAUCACCUCCCACAGGCCCCACCUCAAAUACCUUCACACUGUGAAUUGGGUUUGAACACAUGAAUUCUGGGGACACAAGCAUUGAGUCUACACCAGGCAGUAAGGUACAUUUUCCUUCAUAGUUCCGUGAGUAAACCCAGCAUUUGUGUAUCCCCAAGUUUGUACAGCUGCUCAUGUUUAUGAAGCACUUAACCUGACGUGCAGCAGGUGGUCAACAAGUCGUAACAGCAUUGUCCUUAAAUGCUUUAUUUUGGUUAUUGGUAUCACAGUCUUGCCCUACAAGAGUCAGAGACCUCAGAAUUACCCUGACACUCACAUACUCAAUUCCUGUAUCCAAGCUGGAAAGUCCUAUUGGCUUUGCCUUUCUAAUUAAGCCUUUGCCUUGAUUCUGCCUCAAAGUAUCUAAUCACCACAAUCUCUGACUUUCUUCAAGCCUUCAUUACCUAUUUCUUGGUUCCUAAUAAUAGUUUCCUAAUUUGUUUCCAUGCUAAACUUACUCCAGUGCAAUCUCUUUGCUGCUGACAAAUAUAUCUUCCUAAAGCCAAAAUGUAAUCACAUCUCUACAGCUUAGUGCUUUUGAGACAUGGCUUCAACAUAACUGACUAUUGAGCCUCAUGACAGUAGGGGACCAAGAAGCAGGACAGCCACUGACUAUUAGUGUUCCUGUACCAGGUAUUGUGUUUCAUCCAGAAUGAGUUUUUUAGUUUCAAUUUCAUUCCUUCAGACAAGCUUUUCCUGGUGCCACCAACCAACACAGUCAUGUCACCUAUGUUGUAUACUUCAUAAUUCACAUCUCAAUCAAUAAUCAUCUUGAAUAUUGGUUUGUUGUUAGUUUACUUAUUUAUUAUCUGUCUUGCCCACUAGAAUGUAGCUCUGUGAGGAGAGGGAGAUUUUUUUUUAAACUUUUGUUCACUGUUGUAUCUGCAGUGCUUACCACUGCACCUGACAAAAAAGCAGAAUCUCACUGUUAUGGACUGAAUAUCUGUGUCCCCCUCAAUUCAUAUGUUGAAUCCUUAAUCCCCAAUGUGAUGGUAUUAGGAGUUGGGGCCUUUAGGAGGUAACUAGUUCAUGAGGGUGGCAUCCCCAUAAAUAGGAUUAGUGUCCUUAUAAGGAGAGACACAAGACAGAUGAUCUCUUGCUCUCUCUGACAUGUGAGGACAUAGCAAGAAGGCAGCUGUCUGCAAACCAGAGAAGGUCCUCACCAGAACCCAACUAUGAUGACAUCGUGAUCUUAGACUUAGAGUCUCCAGAACUGUGAGAAAUAAAUAUUUGUUUGUUGUUUAAGUCACUCUGUCUAUGGCAUUUUUGUUACAGCCGCCUGAGUUGACUAGAACACUCACUGAAUAUUUGCUGAAGCAAAGAGCUAAGCUAGGCUAGUAAGGACAAACAAACCCAUAACCCCAGCACUAUCACACUCAUUUAAUAAAAUAAAUGAUAUUAUAAUGCCACAAAGUUAAGAAGAUCAUGAUAGCAGAAUAAAGGACAUUUAAGAACUGAGACAGAGUUGUGUUACAAACAGUCCCUACAUUUUUCUUGUGGUAGAACUUCCCUUGGAUGGUACAACCUUCUCAUGCCUAGUCUCUGGCUGACAGCAGGACAAGCUUUUGGGAGUGUAGGAAAAAUAGGACCUUUGCUCUUCUCUGAAGAGGUGAUACCCUAAAACUGGUGAGUGGCUGGUAUAGAGAGCAUGGUAAGCUCACAGUACCGUUCACUGUCGCUGUGACUUCACAUGUGACUUUGUGCUAAGUGCAAGUUUGCCCAAGUGUUUGAGGACCUCACGCUUCUCUCCUCCAGCCCCUUCUUGAAGUUUAAUUUUUAGCUCAAAUGUCACUUGCUUUACUAGGACUUCCUGUGUACCUUAGGUAACUUGGUCUAUGACACUUGUCCUAAUAACUCUGGUUAAAGUCACCACUCUUGCCCACUCUCUCCCAGGAAACUACAUGUCAUUGGAACCAGAACACAACCUUGUGGCAGGACCUCACUACAUUUCCCCAGCCCAGAGGUGGCCAAGCAUUAACCUGCAUCAGAAUCACCUGUGUUUUAUACCGAUUGCUGGGCCCCACCUUGAGUUUCUGAUUCAGCAGGUAUAUUAGCUACUUAUAGCAAAUUACCUCAAAACUUAACACCUUACAACAAACCAACAAACAAUACUGCCAAUGGUGAGUGGACAGAGAGAGGAAAUCACCUUACCAUUGGCAGUCCUUGUACACUCGGCUUCCCUGACCACCCCCCCCAGCAUCAUUGCUACCCUCUGGCCAGCUUAGUCUCUUAAUAUCUAUUGUUAUGUUUACAUGAUAACGAUAGUCUUCCUAAUCUAGAGCUAACCCCUUCUGUUUUUGUCCAUUAUACCUUUUUACAAUACCUGGCAUCCUCAUUUACGUAAUAAUCUUCACUUAUUGAUAAGCAUAUCAAUAUUUUUCAGAGGUGACGAAAAGAGGUCAUGAAUUGGAAAAACCAUGAAUGUGUGUUUUUGUGUGUUUGUGUCUUUGUGAAAAAGAGACUAUGUCAGGGAGAGAACAAAUGAUAGCAAAUAAUAUUGAUUCAUUUCUAAAGACAGGGAUCAGAGACAGAAUCAGUGCUGUAUUUCUGAUUUCACUCUUUCUACUAAGUGUUUAUUGAAGUUAUAAAAGGAAAUCGAAGGCAAAAUUGGCAUAGGUAAAUAAGUUUUAUUGAUUUACCACGAACCGCAUUCUGUCUUUAGGUCCACCGGGAUGUGAAACUUCCUAGACUGGUAUGUGGUCUUAUUUCAGUGCCUGACACACUGUUGUUAUUGAAAAAAUAUUUGCUAGAUGAAUAGAUUAACUUAUUUUAAUUGCCUUUUAUAUAUUAUUUUAUAAAGAGAUAAUUUAUAUUUUUCAAAUGUAUUCAACACAUUUAUUAAGUCCUUACUGUGUUUUAGGUACUUGUCUAGGUCCUGGAGUUAGCAAAUGGUGAACAAAGACAAACAUGGUUUAAAAAUGUUCUAUCUAUUCAGGGCUUAUAAAUUCCAAGAGUAUGGUCUAGGUUAAAUGUUUUAUGCUGUGACUCAAUAGACUUAAUAAAUCUCAUAGCUGGCAAGAAGUUUAGGUAUAAUCUAGUCUAAUGGCGUUACAGGUGAAGCAACUAGAGUCAAGAAAAUUUAAGGGAUUUGCCCCAAAUUACACAGUUAGCUCAGGUCAUAGCUGUGAACUCCAACCCAGAGCUUUGUCCAUUACCAUCAACCUUGCUGCCAAGUAGAUACAUCAAUAUAAUUAAAGAGAAGCAUUUGAAUGUGUAGACAAGUUUUCUGGGGUUUUUUUUUUUGUUUGUUUUUUUAAUAAAUGAAUUCUUGUGAGUUGUUUGUAUGGCUGAAUUUAAUACUGCCUUCAACUUUCAGGUACAUGUGGUCAUCUGCUCUUUACAGUUUGUCAUUUAUAGAAUAUUUAUGAUAAUACCUUCCUUUGGGGAAUAGAAGACUGUUUAUCAUUAGAGUCCUUCAGAAAUGCUGAUUCAUUUCAAAAAGAAAUGAUUAAUCUGUUAUAGCAAAGGUAGGCACCCUGCAGACCAUGGACCAAAUCUGGCUUGAUGCCUGGUUUUGUACAAUCUAUGAGCAAAGAAUGAUUUUCACAUUUUUAAAUAAAUGGAAAAAAUUACAAGAAUAGUAUUUCGUGACGUGAAAAUAAUAUGAAAUCCAAAUUUUAGUUGUUCAUUCAUACAGUUUUAUCAGAACACAGCCAUGCUCAUUCAAGUGAUGUCUAUGGCUGCUUGCUCAAUACAACAUCAGAACUGAGUGAUUGCAACAGAGACCAUGUGGCCUGCAAAGCUUAAAGUAUUUACUCUCUGGCCCUUUACGGAUAGUUUACUCACCCCUGCAUUACAGCAGCAAAUAUCCUAUAGUACUUUCCUAUUGCUCCCAACACUUGUGGGACAUUUACGUACCUAUUUAAUAGGAGCCAAUGAUUUCAGUAACUUUGAAGACACGGAAAUCUUUAUCCCUAAAUUGCACAUAACCCAAAUUAGGUCCAGAUUUUUCCUUACUUUCUCUUCUUGCUUAAUACUGUGUUGAUGUCUGUAUAGUCUUCUCCUCAAAAAAAUUAAAGCUUACCAGCAGUGUUUACAUUUGGCAGAAAUAAAAGCUUUCUACAGCCAGCAGCAGGUCUGCACUGAGAUAAUUUGUAAUGGUACAGUGGGACCAGUCUCCCGGGGAUCUGACUACAUUGUCUGCAAGGGAGGAUGUGUUUUUUUAAUAGUUACUGGGUUUCAAACUCCUUAUGCUCUAUGUCUAGAUGGUUAAAAUUAAACAUUUUACAUGGAUUUAAAAGCUUAAUGUUCAUUGAGAAGGAAGUUCUGUGCUGAUAAUAGAAAUAGUCAAGAAAGUUUCUUGUUUUACUUAAAGAGAUUUCUUGAGCUAUUAAAACACAUUGUACAACUUCACCUUUGACUCCAUAAAGUUUACUGACAACUCAGUGAAAAGGAAAUACACAAAACAAAUACCCAUACAGAAAUGUUUACCUUCAUUAGAAGUUAAAUAAAUCCAACUUAAAACAGUGAUAAAAUACCAUUUUUCGUACAUUAAAUUACAAAGAAAAAGAUGACACUUUCUAAUAUUCACCACUGGGUAAUGACAUAAUAAAUGUUGAUACUCUUUUGUGAGACAAACUUUAUUUUUUGACAUUAAAAGCUUUCCAAAAAUAAAUUUCUUCCAAAAUAAUUCACUUGAACAUUGCAGGUUUUGGUGCACUAUAAGAAAUACCAAAUAUUGAACCACAAGGGGUCAAUUCACAUUGUAAACUAAAUCCCAUCUUGGAUACAUGGCUGUUAUCUAAAGCACGAAUUUAACAUGCCACUCCUGUGUAAAAUCCUUUGAAGAUUCCCCGUAAUCUGCUGAGUAAAAUCCAGUCUCUUUCUAGAGGCAUUAAGGUCUUUGUCAUCUUGGCCUGGACCUUUCCCCCUCUUAUUUCCUGCCAUUCUACCUGCAUAGUAAAUCCUCUCCCUCCCUCACCCACUGAAACUCAUCCCUCCAGAAACUGGUCCCCAAUCUCUUCUCUAACAUUGAUUUUUUUCCCUCUUUCCUGGAUCAUUUGCAAAUGCUUUACUUUCUCCCAUCUCAAAAAUUCUCUCUGGAUCUCAGAUACCCUCCAGCUACCAUCCUAUUUCUCUCCUUUUCUUUAAAACACAUUUAUUUUUGAAAGAGUUGCCUAGGGAAUUCCCUGGUGGUCCAUACUUUCACUGCCAUGGGCCCCGGGCUCAAUCCCUGGUCAGGGAACUAAGAUCCCAUAAGCGGUGUGGCAUGACCAAAAAAAACCCCCCAAAACAAAAAGAAAACCAAAAAAACCCACAAAGAGUUGCCUAUACUUGAUUGAUGAUUUGUCUCCAAUUUCUCUCUUUUUUUCUCUUUUUAAAAUUUGUUUGACUCUUUAUUAUGGAAAAUUUACAAAUAAACAGAGAAUUGUGAAAUGAACACCUGUAUACCCAUCAUCCAGCUUCUAGCAGAUUAUUUCAAAGCCAAUAGCAGUAACAGGUAUAUGAGCAUAUUCUAAACAGCCUUUCAGACUCAUCAUCCCACCAACUGCUCUUUUCAAAGUCAACAAUGACCUUCACCUUAGUUACUUUGUGCAGUAAAAUACACACAAACAUAUAUUGUUCUGAAAACAAAGCAAUAGCUUGGAUUGAAAGAUAUACUUUUUAUUAAAAAUGGAAAACACAGGAAAAAAAAAUGAACAGAAAUUCUACCACUUAGAGGUAAUCACUACUGACAUUUUAGUGAAUUCAAUCCCAGAUUUUAUGUUCUGCAAAUUAAUAUGUAUUUUAAGAAAUAAGAUUAUACUUUUAAACAAUCUUAUUUUUAAUGAAUUAUGAUGUGCCUUUUGUGUUCAAUAAAUUAUAGGUCUAGAUAAUUUUUUAAGCUCUAUAGCAGUCUGUCAUUGUUACGUUUGUUUGUUUUUUGGCCACACCGCGUGGCAUGUGGGAUCUUAGUUCCCCAACCAGGGAUGGAACCCACACCCCCUGAAUUGGAAGUGCAGAGUCCCAACCACUGGACCGCCAGGGAAAUCCCCAUUUUUACGUUUUAUAAUUUAUUCAAAUAACUCUCUGUAUUAGUACAUUUUAUAUUCCAAUUUUAACUCACAUACAGUAUUUUAAUGAUCAUCCUUAUAAAGCAUUUUUGUGCACAUGUGCUGUAUUUCUUCAGGAUAAAUUCCCAGAAGUGGAAUUUUGAAUAGUACAUAUUUUUAAAGCUACAAAGCAAUGUUCUUUCAAAAGUAUAAGCAUUUAAGAGGGAAGAGAUAUGGGAACAUAUGUAUAUGUAUAACUGAUUCACUUUGUUAUAAAGCAGAAACUAACACACCAUUGUAAAGCAAUUAUACCCCAAUAAAGAUGUUAAAAAAAAAAGGUAUAAGCAUUUAAUCUAUAGGGUGCUAGCUGCAAAAGAAGUAUUCUUACUGGUAACAGGAGGUCAUGGGGGGAUACAAAGAAAGUUUGAGAAAAUGCAGUGCUUCUCCAAAUCUUCUGCCAUGUACCAGGAAGACUCUAUGGUCAAUGGUUGAUGGGCCUGAGUUAGAAGUUUCCCCAAAUCCCAUAUGCCUCUAAUAGAGCAGAAUAAACUUCAUCUAUAAGCAGCCUCAGAUUCUCCAACUGCCAACUUUUCAGGUCAUGAAAUCUUCCUGGCUCUUUGCUGAGGAUGUACACUUGACUAAUGGGAAUGCAACAUCAGCAACAAAACUGAGAAUGAGCUAGUUUAGGAAACAGAUUUUCAGUUCCAUAUUUCACUUUCAAAUUAAUCUAAUUAGUCAUAAUUUGUUUUACUUGUGGGGUCUUAAGAAUACAGUCAAGUUUAAAAAAUGGCUAAAGAAGAUUUGAGAAAAUAUCAACAGUACCUUCAAAGAAAGUCCCUAGACUUCAAUACCACAAAAGUAAAAUAAAAACAAAGACCAAAAGACUGGUCACCAAAAGACAUUCUCCAAAGAGCCUUUGAAAUAUAACCAGUUACCUGUUGAAGCCAUCUAAGGAACUUUUCUUUGGGGAAGGAAAAACUAAUUUUACUCAGGAAGAGGAAGCUGGAUCUCAGUGCCAAGAUCUAAGGUGAGUGUGUUUUAUAUUUAAAAAUACUAAAAGGAAGACAGCACUUACAUUUCUGAGGAAAUAAAUAGUUGUCACAGAGCCUGUUCAUUCCUCUAACUUAAAUUCUCAAAUGGCCUUCAAGUCUGAAAUUGUGGAAAAGAACCUUAACACUGCCUUAUGUCUGACCCUCUAAGAAGUAGAGCCUAGUAAGGGAACAUUUGCCCAGGGUUUACACAGAUAGUCAUUUCCAUCUACUUUCAGAACCUCUUGAAAUGAAGAAUGUCAAACUAGCCUGGGCCAUUGAUUAGUGUAGUUUGAAUGAUAAUAGUAACUUUAAAAAAAUCAGUCACCAAUACAUUACCGUUUCACUCUCAUCACUGUCAUUUUCAAUACCUAAGUAACAUUUUAAAAGUGGGACAGCCUACAUUUUUUUUUAAUCACAUUUUAGUGUAAGGGAGGUAAGAAUUGGUGGGACUGGGUUCUCUGUCUCCCAGUGUGCUUUGAUUUUGAAAUAAUUCCUUUAAUUCAGGAUAUAAUGUGAGUUUCAAUUUCUUGGGAGAGAUGGAUUUUGGAUUCAGUCUGGGGUUUAGAUAAGAUGUUCAGUGAAUCUUUAGUGCUCAGUUUAUAUGAGCUGAGAAGUUGGUCUGAUCCCCUAAAAAUGCUUUUUGUGGGGAGUGGUGAGGAGUUCCCUAGAUGAGAUAUUAUCAGGACCCAGCCAACCUUAGGAUUCUCCUAGUCAAUAUACUGACUUCAUGGUUGGGUGGGAAAACGAAUGGCUGUGGUGGUAAAUGCUGGGUCGCAGUGGACUGGUUCUCAUAUCAUUGAAACUUUCUGAUGGACCUAAUGAGAUCCAAGCCAUAACUUUUCAUAGAAUUAUAGGGCUGGUAGGUACUUUAGAAGUAUUAAUCUUCUUUUCACCCAGUGGAAGAAUUUAUUUUGCAAUAUCCUAGAGAGAUUGUUACGGAACUUGGGUUUGGCUACUUACUGCUCAAAAACCAAUACUCGAGAGACAAGUGUUGGUUGGAAAGGAAAGCCUGGUUUAUUCAGGAGGAGAGGAGGAGAAGGUGGACUCAUCUCCGAAAACUAACUCUGAAGAUUCUGCUCGACCAUGAAAGAUUUUAAAGGAAGAAUCAUGGGGCUGGAGGAGGGGAGGAUGAGAGUCUUCAUUAUUUUUUACUGUGUGCAGACUUUCCCCUGAUUGGUUGGUGGUGAGGUAACAGGGUGCUGCUCCAGAAAUCUUGUGCUCAGCCUGAUGUUACCAUCCUCCAUCUACUUGGGAGUCUUAGUUCCUACAGAAGAACUCAAAUAUAUUGUUAUGUAUAUUCCUUGAGGAUGAACCAGGACCCUGUCCCAAGGCUGCAGUAUUGUUUCUUGACUGCUUCUCCCUUGUCUCUGCAUCCCCUCCCUUCCCUGAGGAGCAACUGCUUGAAUCAGCCCUUUGGAACUCAGGGAAGGUCAAGGAGGCUGAAUGAAACCUAUUCCUUACAAACAAGAAACAGGGGCCAUAGAAAGGAUUUGUACCUGGGAGGACCCAACAGGGUCCUGCUCCAACUCAAGAUGGUUAUCCUCAACUCUUCUAAUGAGAAAACUGAUUUAUUUAUUUCAUCAUGAAGAAUCCCACUGAACAGAUUUACAUUUUUAAAUGUAUUUUUAAUUACAAAAUUUUAAUAAAAUUUUUCUAAGAUGAUAAUUAGUUAUAUCUUUCUGAAAUAUCUAGCCAGUGUUUCUAGUUUUGAACUUUGUGGAGUCCUAGAAUAAAUCUAGUUCCUUUAAAAGAAUUUUUUUAUUAAAAAUAUCUUUCAAUAUUUGGAGAAAAACUCUGCCUCUCCCUGAGCCUUUCUCUAUUUUCCUCAAGAAACCUUUAUAUAACAUGAUCUCCUUAUGUUGUCCUUUGCCAUUCUGAGGGGCCCUAGUUUACUCCUGUACCUUUUUAAUGUAAUUUUGAUGCUGAAAACUCAGCCUCUGUGCACUAGUGCUGAAUCAAAACUUGAAGAUAGGGCUUCCCUGGUGGCGCAGUGGUUGAGAGUCCACCUGUCGAUGCAGGGGACGCAGGUUCGUGCCCCGGUCCAGGAAGAUCCCACAUGCUGCGGAGUGGCUGGGCCCGUGAGCCAUGGCCGCUGAGCCUGCGUGUCCAGAGCCUGUGCUCUGCAACAGGAGAGGCUGCAACAGUGAGAGGCUCCUGUACCGCAAAAAAAAAAAAAAAAAAAACUUGAAGAUAGUUUUGGGUGAAGUAGAAAAGAAUAGCUUUAUUGCUUUGCCAGGUAAAGGGGGACACAGCAGGUUCAACCCCUCAAAAACUGUGUGUCCCAACCUGGGGGGAUUUGAUGAGGAGUUUCAUAGCAAUGGUUCAAGGGAAGUGUUGUUGAUAAGGAUCAGGGUGUGUGCAGGGCCUGCAUUCCUUUAAUCCAGCCUCAGAUGAUCUCCUGAUAAGCUUGUGUGGUUCUAGAGGUUAUCAAACUAUGGCCUUUUCUCUGGAAUGAAGAACGCUUCAUCAAGUAGUUCAUCUUCCAUUUGUUGGGGGGUCUUAGUUGUGCAGAAGACCUCAAAGAUAUUGUUAUGUGUAUCCCUUGAGGUGGAACCAGGACCUUGCCCCAAGUCUGCACUAUUGUUUAUUGACUGCUUCUCCCUUGUUUCUGCAUUCCCUCCCUUCCCUGAUUAUCAACUGUUUGAAUCUGCCCUUUGGAACUCAGGGAAUGUCAUGGAGGUUGAAGGCUAUUCCCUACAAACAAGAAAUGGGGGACACAGAAAGGCUUCCACACACAGGAGCCCCAUAGGAUCCUGCUCGGUUUCAAUGUCAAAACCAGAAAACAAGCCUUUUACAGUAGCUAGGAACUCAUUCAGGAUCAUAUCAUUAAAAAACAGAAUUCAACUAAGUAAAUUUUAAAGAUGUUAUUGGUUUUAUUCUGCAAUUCAUGAAUUGGGCAUCUCUCAAGCUAGCUGAGAGAAAAGUGUUCCAAAGAGAAUUUAUAGGCAGAAGGAAGCAGAAACAAGGACGUUCCACUAGGCAGAAAGCAGAUUGGUUAUUGCAAAGUUACUUUCUUUAUAGGGAAUGACAAGUGUCUAUCAAGCAGGCUACCUACUAGUCUGAUCAUGGGACUCCUGAUCAACUGGUGUAAGAUUCCAUUUCUGUGAGAGCUAAAACUAUAAUUAAGUUUCAGUUUGGUGAUGUGGGGCUUAGUAUAAGUGACUUCAUGUCGGGCCUGUUGUAUUGCCUUUCAUAAUAUUAAAUAUUUGUUGCUGUCAUAUAUGUGUGUCUGUGUAUGCUACAGAUAUAUUUAUCAGUAGCUGAUCUAAUAGAGCCAAGUACUGCUUUUUAUCCUGCUAAUUUCACUAAGUUGUAGGGGAACUGAAUUUGCCACCCUAAAACAUGUCUCUUUGGCAUAUUAAUUAUUUUAAGCUGGUUAUUUUCUGAGAGACGGCAGACAUGGGAAGCGCUCUGAGAACAAAGUAGGAGUUGCCCUUUUGUAAGAAACAUUUACGUUUGUAAAGGAAAUCUCCAUUUGUAAGGGUGCCUCCCUCUCUAUACCAGCAAGAGGAGAAGGGUCACAUCUGUAGAAACUCUUAUGAAAAGAGAAGGCAAUGACUUAAAUCUGCACCACAAUCACCCUUGUUUACUGUGACUUUUCUGGAACUUCCCAUAACUGACUUUCUUUACCCGACAUCCUCUUUUGUCUUAGCUGAAGAUGCUAUUGAAAGUGAGGGCUUUGGCCAUUCUAGUGAGUUACUCAAUUUUCCUGGGUAUUUACCAUGUAUACAUGUUAUUAAACUUUUGUUUGAUUUUUCUCCAAUUUGUCUCAUAUCAGUUUAAUUUCUUAGACCAGUCAGAAGAACCUAGAAAGGUAGAGGAAAAUUUCAUCCUCCCCAGCAAAGUAAAUAUCUCUGCUUUUCCUGUCUGGCAUUGUAAGCAGAUAAGUUAGGGGGUGCCAGGAGAAAGAGAACCAGGAAUGGCUUUCUUGACAUAAGAGAAGCCAUUUUGGCCUAAAGCAUUUUGUGAUCUAAGCCUGGCUGCAAUGCUUGCCCUUGAACAGGUGUCAGUAAUUAAUGAUCUUAAGGGAACAAAGGAAUGCAGGAAUGGAGAAAAGGCCGUCAAAUAAUAGUGCAGUGGUAAAGCGGAGUCCUAGUUUCCCCUUAAGGGAUAUAUGUAGUAAUAUACCUUUGAGUUCUGCAGGAACUAAGGCUCCCACCCAAGUGGGAAUGGAAUGGUGAUAUUGACCCUCCUGACUUCAAGCAACUAAAGCUUGGACUCUGUUGACCUUUGCCCCAAUUCUAUGCAGAAUCCUCCUCUGCUGAAGCCCCUGCAUGAAUAUGCAUGUACCCUUAGCUUAAAACUUCCCCAGUUUUGCAGCCCAGGGAGACACUGCUUUGGGAAAGAUCCCCGGGGUUCUCCUUACUUGCUGCAAGUAAUAACAAAUCCUUCCUUCUCUGAGUCUUUGGCUUGCUUGUGUCUACUGGCUCAACACCCACCAAGACGUGAACCCAGUUUUGGGGUAACAGCAAGAGGCAAAGAUGCAGCUGAUUUUUAAAAGUUCACUUUUUCUGAUUAAGUAAAUAACACAUGUGGUAAAUAUUCAAGUAUUACAGAAAUGUUGAUUUAGAAUGUGAACUUGUCUGUAAUCUCUCUCCUCCACAGAACAGUGUAAACAACUGGUAAAUACAACAUUACAGAUGUGUUCUCCUAUGUAUUUAUAUCUAGUAGCACAUAUAGGAAGAGGACUCAUUAAGAGCUUGGGCUUUGAAGUCUGGGGGUCUUAAGUUCUGACUCUAUCAUUCACUAGCUGAUGCUCUGUUUCCUCAUUUGAUAGCAAUAUACCUACCUUAUCAAGGUGUUGGGAAUAGUCAAUGCAAUAACACAUAAGACGCUCUGUACACAUGGCUUACAUUAAGUUUUCAUUUAAAGUUAGCCACUUUUUAUGCUUAUGUAAUAUGCGUUAUGUAUUGUUGAUGAAAAUUCAAUUAACAAUCAAGUUAAGAAGAACAAAAAAAGAGAAUUUUAUUUGAGCCGAGCUAAGGAUUAUAACCUGGGAGGCAGACUCUCAGAAGCUCUGAGGACUGUUCCAUUGGUCAAGAGUUCGAAAUGCAAUUUUAUACAUUUUUGAGACAAAGAAUUAUGUAUCAGAUUGACAGGUUAACAUUACACGUAAACUUCAUCAGAGAUGUUUUGUUCAGGUAUGCACAUAUAGAGCGAGAUUUUCGGCCAAUGCAACCCCUUGUAUAGGAUGAGAAAGAAACAAUAAUCUUAAAAUUACAAUGGUGGUGUCAGAAUGUUGCAUGAAGAGAGACCCCUUCCAGGGCCUGAGAGUGGGCUCUUGUCUAACACUCAGAAAUGAAUUGUCCUAGGAGACACACUCGCUGACAAAGCAAAAGACUUUAUUGGGAAGGGGCACCCGGGAGGAGAGCAGCAGGGUAAGGGACCCCAGGAGAACUGCUCUGUCAUGUGGCUUGCAGUCUCAAGUUUUAUGGUAAUGGGGUUAGUUUCCAGGUUGUCUCUGGCCCAUCGUCUUCCUUGGCCCGUAUUUGGUCUGACUCAUGGUCCUUUUGGGUGGCACGCACAUCUCUCAGCCAAAAUGGAUUCCAGCGUGAGGGCUUCUGGGCGGUUGGCAGGACAUAUCAUCUCCUCCCUCCUCCUUUUGGCCCCUCCUGGAUUCUUCUGGGUGAGUUUUACAAGGCAUACUACCGGCUGGCGUGUCCUCCCUCCUUUCAGGCCCUCCCAAAUUCUCUCAGUUUUCAGAGGCAGCACCGUGUUCCCUAUCGGGACCUCUUAUCACGAGACAGGUCAUGCCUGGCCAAGGCGGGUGGGUUCAGUCAACAGUUCCCUAAGGAGAAGACAGGGACCAUUUUUCUCAAGGUUGCUUACACCCUCCCGCCUUGAGGAGGUCUGGUUAAUAUACAUGCAGGUGCACACGGCGCACUGGGAAAGGCCUGCCACGAAGCAGGGCAUAUGGAAGCCUGUUGUGUGUGUUUUAAUUCUGACUUUGAUUUUUCUGCCGUAGAGAAAUUCGUGAAUCUUCCUCAUCAACAUCAAUGUGAUAGAUAUGAGAAUUACAGAGAAUUUUAUUUUUUCCUAUUUAAUCAUAUACACCUUGAAAUU